AACGAACGCUGGCGGCAUGCCUAACACAUGCAAGUCGAACGAGACCUUCGGGUCUAGUGGCGCACGGGUGCGUAACGCGUGGGAACCUGCCCUUAGGUUCGGAAUAACUCCCCGAAAGGGGUGCUAAUACCGGAUAAUGUCUUCGGACCAAAGAUUUAUCGCCUUUGGAUGGGCCCGCGUUGGAUUAGCUAGUUGGUAGGGUAAAAGCCUACCAAGGCGACGAUCCAUAGCUGGUCUGAGAGGAUGAUCAGCCACACUGGGACUGAGACACGGCCCAGACUCCUACGGGAGGCAGCAGUGGGGGAUAUUGGACAAUGGGCGAAAGGCUGAUCCAGCAAGGCCGGGUGAGUGAUGAAGGCCGUAGGGUUGUAAAGCUCUUUUACCCGGGAUGAUAAUGACAGUACCGGGAGAAUAAGCUCCGGCUAACUCCGUG
rnacentral:rRNA from 1 species